rnacentral:lncRNA from 1 species
AUUUAUCCGUUUUUCUUUACUCAUGUUGAUUUGAUGUGUAACGUUAUUGUUGAACGCUUACACAUAGCUGUGAAACGAAGAAAACAUAAUACGUUUAAAAUAUAGUUUGUUUUUUAUCAGCGUUAAGUACGUUCAAUACGAUUUGUUUUGCCAAACGAUAUAGGGAGAUAGCUGUUGUUUGAUUUAUUUAUACUUUUUUUGAACGGAAAGGAAUUGAAUUCAAAGGGUCUUCGGUGCUAACGAUACUGUUCAAAACGUUCACAGCUAUAAAACAACGAGUACUCGUUAUGAGUGUUACAACAUCAGUCGUUACACUUGGACGAAAGGAAAUCAAAACUUUUGCGAUGUAAUGUAAAUAAAAAAACCCGAUUGAUUUGAUGUGAAAUGCUGUAAUGAUAUUAUAAAAUGCACACACAGCUAUAAAAUAAUGAAGUAAACAUGGGGAGAGCUAUGGGAUGUUUUCAUUGAGAAGGAAUGUGAUUGACUUUACUGAUAUUUCUAUUAUCACAAACAGUUGUAAAAUUUAAAAAUCGAAUUAUAUGCAACACUUUUUAUAAUUCUUUUGUUCACAUUUGUUAAUUAAGUCUAUCGUUUGACUAUGUUUUAAUUGUAUCUUUUAAUUAUGUUAAAUAAUUAUAAAUUUGUUUUUUAAAUAUGUUAAAUUCAUUAAAUUUGAUUUAUUUUUUAAAAUAAUAUAGGGAGAUAGUGUUAGUGCGAUAGAUGUGUGUCAAUGGUUCUAUUGAUACUAUUCAAAUCAAACCCAGCUAUAAAAUAAAGAAAUCGUGGUACGGAUUACAAUUUUUAACACUCUUAUUCCAUUAUGAUACAAGUGUUUUUUUUAAAUAUCUUGAACUGUAUUGUUUACUUGGCUCAUAGUGUUUCGCAGAGUAAUUAAUUAACAAGUGCUCGAACAUGAGUGUAGUACUGUUGCCCUUCGUUCGACUAUGACUCAUUUGUGUCUUUAAAUUAUGUUAAAUACAUUCAAUUUGAUUAAUUUUUCCAAAUAAUAUAGGGAGAGAGCUGUUGAAUGUUUUCGUUGCACUUUAUUCUUUGGAAUGGAAUAGAAUUCAACGUGUUAUUGGUGCUAAUGAUAAUAUUCAAAUCAAACCCAGCUAUAAAAUAAAGAAAACUUGGUAUGUAUUUAUACAAUAUUUAACGCUCAAGUUCCUCUAUGAUAUAAAUGUCUUUGUAAAAUAUCUUAAACUAUAUAUUGUUUAUUUUGCUCAUAGUGGGUUGCAGAUUAAUGAAUUAACGAAUGCUCAAACACCAGUGUAGUACUGUUGUACCCAAGAGCUUGGUUAUUAUUACACUUUUCUCCUAAUAUUAUAAGAAAAAUCUUGGUAUAGUUUAUUUAUUUAAACCGUAUCAUACUGAUAUGACUUUAUAUAAUGAU